rnacentral:snRNA from 1 species
GGAUGUGAGGGCGAUCUGGCUGCAACAUCUGUCACCCCAUCGAUCGCCAGGGUUGAUUCGGCUGAUCUGGUUGGCUAGGCGGGUGUCCCCUUCCUCCCUCACCGCUCCGUGUGUGUCCCUCCCGAAGCUGCGCGCUUGGUUGA